UCAAAGAAAGUGUAAAACCUCAAAAAUUCAGAGAUGGGCUGGGAUGUAGUCAGUGGCAAAGCACUUGCCUAGCAAGUGCAACAUCCUGGGUUCGAUCCCCAGUACCAAAAAAG